AAGUGCGCUAAUGUAACAUGAUGCAUCGUUAAAAUAUUUGGUUUAAUUACAUUUCCGUGUGCCCUUUUGUUGGCUCGAGCCAAUUCUGGGUUAUGCAAUGGCGAUUCGUCGACAUCACAGAGGCGCUCUUGUUGCUGGGGAUUCUAGUAGAUUCUGUAACCAUUUGGAGAAUCGCUGAGGAUCUCGGAGUUUGAAAUUCGAAUGAAUGGCGGGAACGCAUAGUAGACUGUCUGGUCGGAGUAGCGAGCACAGUCAUGUUGUCUGGCAAAUCCCAUUCAUCACGAUUGAAUGAAUGCGUCGGGAGUAGGCGGAGUCGGUAUUCCCCCCUCUCCGUAGAGAUUACAGGCAACAUGGCAAACGCUGAUGUUGAGGCAGCAGAGCCUAAGAGGAGAUCUGAGAGAUUGGUAAAUAAACCUGCAAUUGCAAAGGCAGAGCCCAAGCCAAAGAAGGAGAAGGCAGCACCUAAGCCCAAGAAGGCUAAAGAGGUGAAAAAGACCGAGCCUGAGAAGGAGGUGCCCGCAGAGAAUGGAGAAGCCAAAGCUGAGGAAGAGGCACCAGAAGAACCUGAACAGAAAGAGGAGGAAGAGGCGGCAGAAUAACAUCUCUCAAACCACAUCUUUUAUCAGUGCUCCCUGUACCUCUUUUUCUUGUACAAUUCAGGGGUAUAUUUUUAUCGACUAUUUUCUAAAUGCAGGUUUUUUAGUAGUUUGAUUGUAGAAACACAUUUUUUUAUGAAAUAAAAAAUACAAUUUGAGAUGGGGAUUUCAUUGCAUCCCAUGUUUUUACAUCUCUGGAACAAUUACGGUCAUUGUAAAUGUCAACGGUUUUUAUUUUCGAUAUGGGGGAGGGGUGGGAACGGGACAGGUUACUACACCAAGAACAUGCAAGCACGUCGUUUACAGGAUCCGGUCAAAACAACAGAGAGCUUGUCUGAGAGACUAACAUUCCAUAGGCUAUAUGAGGGAAGGUAUACGUAACCUGCAUUGUGUGGUGGGGAUGAAUUAACUCAAG
rnacentral:lncRNA from 13 species